rnacentral:rRNA from 1 species
CAAUAGCGUAUAUUAAAGUUGUUGCAGUUAAAAGGCUCGUAGUUGGAUUUCUGGUUGAAGCGACCGGUCGGGCGUUGAUUCGUCUGCACUGGAGUCGGUUUUGGCCAUCCUCUAGGAAAGUGCGUCUGGUAUUAAGUUAUCGGGCGUAUGAUCCUGGUCUUUUACUGUGAAAAAAUUAGAGUGUUUAAAGCAGGCCUUCGCCUUGAAUACAUUAGCAUGGAAUAAUAAGAUAGGACUUUGGUCUAUUUUGUUGGUUUGCAGACCGAAGUAAUGAUUAAUAGGGAUAGUUGGGGGUAUUUAUAUUCCGAUGUCAGAGGUGAAAUUCUUAGAUUUUCGGAAGAUAAACUUAUGCGAAAGCAUUUACCAAGGAUGUUUNCAUUAA